AGGUCGACGAUGGCAGUUCGCCGGAGAAAAAGAGCACUCCAGAACCACACAAGGUUGACGAUGGCGGUUCGCCGGAGAAAAAGAGCACUCCAGAACCACACAAGGUCGACGAUGGCGGUUCGCUGAAGAAAACGAGCACUUCAGAACCACACAAGGUUUUUCCUCUUUCCUCCUUCUUUCCAGUUUUCAAUCUCGGUUCGGUUUUGUGGAAUUCGCGCCAGUAAAAGCAUUACUGUCUCUUCUUGUUUUUCAGGUUGACGAUGGUGGUUCGCCGGAGAAACUGAGAUUAAGGCCGUUCUCUAAAAGAACACGUUAGCGCUAAGCAUUUCGUUUGAAUUUGUUCUUAUUUAUUUCAAAUUCGGUAAUAUUGCAACAAGAGUUUGAUUUUCAUGAUUUUGUUUUUGGUGAUAUGA